UGAAAUUCUUAUGCCUUAUCAUAUGGACUUAAAAUUUUACACAUGUUUUCUAGACACAUUGAAGUUUGUUUUGGCUUUGGUUUGAAUCAUUUAUCACUUGUUAUCUCUGUUUUAGGAUUGCCUCAAGUUGAGGUAUCAUUUUGUGCUUCCUUUGAGCUUGUUCAUGCUUACCUUGACUUGUUGAUUUUAAUUGACAUGCUUCCACUUAUCCAAAUGCCAUGAUUUUUGGUAUGUUGUUCAUUUGAUAUGUUCUAUUUAGGCAUGAUUUUUC
rnacentral:lncRNA from 1 species